UCCCACCCCAGUGCUGCUGGAAGAGGCCAUCGAGGAAGGUCUGAUGAGCUGAAGAAAGGCUUCAAACAGAGGAUGGGGAUCCCAGAGGACUCCAGGGGCCCAGGGGACACAGGCAGGACAUCAGUUGUGCCCACUGAGGUGUUUGGACAUAACAACAAGAAAAGUAACAAAUGUAACCAACUCUACACAGCUGCUGACGCUAAACUGUGAGCGGGGGACACGCCAGAGAUGCCUCAGGAGCAUUCGCGUAAGGGAGAAGGCUGGUUGGAGGGCUCAAAUACCCAAAACCACAGCAGCUGGAUGUUGCCACAGAGAUGGGCUGUGGAAGCCAUGUGACAGGAUGCACAGGAGCCGGGGCUCACCUCUCCGGAAUCAACAGCUGCAUACAUUAUGUCCAUCCAGCCUUUGAAGGUUGCCUGGAAACAAGAAGGUGGAGGACAAUCAGUGUCUGUCCCUUUAACUGGCUCUACAGUAGCUCAAUGGGAGGGAGAGAGAGAGAGCAAGAGACUGAGUGAAGAAGGCUGGGGAGGAGAGAGCUCAGGCAGAAAGGGAAGAAAGGGGAAAGUCUCUCGGUGACUUGACUGACUUCACACGACUUCAAGAAAUCCAGAAUAGUGUGGUACUGAAGACGUGGAAUCUCCUAGAAUAUGCUGGGACUCUACUUAUCUAGCUCUAGGGACAACAGGUACAGGCUGUUCUGUGCUCUGCCGGGCCGACAUUUUCUCGGUCACUUCCCCGCUAAUGCGCGUGACAUAAGAAACACACCUGAAAGUGGGAACAAGACCACGUCUCCUGCCUACAGUUUCAACAUCAUUUUUUUUGAAAGCUAAGAUGGUGGCCAACAAGCUCUCCUGAUGUUUCUGAUUCCACGUCCCCAGCACUGGGGUUAUAGACAAGUGCCGACAUGACCGGAAGUUUACAUGGUUGAUGAGGAUCUGAACUCAAGCCUUCCUGCUCACAUAAUAACUCCUCAAGAGUCACCUCCCCGGCCCAGUUUUAGCAUCCUUGAGGCGUCAAAAGCAGAUGUGCUUUGUAACGUAUCUCAGGCACGAAGCCUGUUACAGCACUUGAGUAACGUAUUUGUCCGGUUUUCUCGUGAGCCCCAGCUCCUGCGUCCUGUCCUGACUAUAAUCUCCAGUGGUUGAGCAUAGUGCCCGAUAGACCACAGAUACACAGAGGUUACUCAUUCCUCGAAUGGAUGAGCAAGGGGUGGAAGAAUACAGGAACUCACCGGCGAAUGAAUGUGGCGGAUGCUUGGGGAACUGCAGCCACAUCACAGUGAACCCAGGACUGAAUGAAGGUGUGGAUAUAGACAACUGAACGGCAUGAGUACACGUGACCGUUGUCACCAAUGCUACCCGUCACUGAAACAAACUUAAUUAGCUGUGACUAUCACACAGGAGAUAACAAGACAUGACAGGUAAAGCCCUGUAUACUCCCCUGCUCUGUACAUCUUAUCAUAGCUAUCUCUCACGAUAGCCUCAUGGACGGCCGGUCUUCCUAUUUUAUUAUCUUAGCCAGACUUGGCCAACGGUAGCCCUGUGAGCUCACACUCAUUAGUGAGGGCUUCUCAUUUAGGGCUAUCGUCUGUGGAAAUACAGAAUGGUCUCAGCUCACGCUCAGUGCUGCCUCUUGUAGGAUCUCUAUGCAGUGCCUUCUGGGAGAAGCUCCAUUUACUGAGCAGCCAAAGGAGAGAAAAUGAUGGAUCUCAAACGACUCACCACCUGAAGAAGUGCGAGGUAGCCCAUAGCGACGUUGUCGAAGUUGACUUUGACGUUGACCCAGAAGAAGUGGCCGGUGCUGUUUUGAUUGUGACACUCGGACUUGUUAUUCACCAUCGUCGAAUUCACGUUGGAAAAUGGGUUAUUUCUGGUGUCGACGCACUUCGAAAAUUUCCCGGCGAAGAGGUUCACGCCCAUGAUGCUGAAGAUGAGCCAGAAGAUGAGGCAGACGAGGAGGACGUUCAUGAUGGAGGGGAUGGCGCCCACGAGGGCAUCCACCACUACCUGGUGGGAAACAGGAAAGGACCUGAAGUUCCCAAAUGUCACUUGUCUGUGCUUCUUACAUGCACACAUACCUGCACAUGGAGACAACCCUCAGUGUCACCUUCAGGAACCCCACCCACCUCCUCUGAGGCAGUCUUUCAUGACCUAGAACUCACCAGGUACAGUAGACUGGCUGCUAGUGAGCCCAGGGACCUGCUCGCCUCUACCUCCCCAGCUGAGAAGCUCUCUCUGUCGGCACACAUGCACCUCUGUCUGCACACAUGCACCUCUUUGCUUGCCUUUAAAAUUAUGCCUUUUACAUGGGGUCUGGGACUUGAAUUAGAGCCUCACGUUUGCAAGGCGAGCUCUGUGCUGAUUGAGCCAUCUCUCCAGCCUACAGCUGAUCUGAAAACCCCACUGUUGUUUGCAAAGAUGUGGUGACUGCUUUGAGCCGGUGGUGGCGGUGGAACUGGGAGGAAACUGGCCACAGAAAAGGACAGGGUGGGUGGAGAGAAAGCCACAGGGCAUAGAGGCUGUGGCCAGAGCCAGGACACCUUCAGGUGGAUUCUGGCUGAGGUGCUGGGUGGAGGUUAUCUCUACAUUGCCAAAGACUGCCAGAGGAAAGAUUCACUUGAAUUGGGACACUGGGCGCCCUGGAUGUAUUUAGGAAUAAAACCCUGAGACAUAGAAUAACCAGGACCACUUCCCUGAGGGCGUAAGGGGUGGCAUUGGUGGGUGAUGAGAAAAGAGGUUCUGAAGAUCAGACUUGAGGGAGACAAGAGAGUUAGCCAACACAAUGUCCUCAGAGUCUGAACAGGAAGGGACAACGCAGAGGUGACAUGGGGGUGGGGGAAGUUGGAGAAGGUUUGCGAAACGCUGCCAAUCAGAGAAGUCCCAAAACGUGUCUUACCCUCAUGCCUUCGAAUCGAGACAGAGCCCGCAGCGGUCGGAGGGCACGGAGAGUCCGAAGGGCUUUGAUGGACGCCACGUCGGAAUACUCAAGGAUCUUCGCUAUGAGGCUUGUCAGGGAGAUCUGGUACAGACAGAGACCAAAGCAUUGUCCCAGUGCUCUAGAAUGUCAUCUGGUGGAAAGAGGCAGCAGCUCUGUGCCCUGCCUCCUAAGCCCUGCCUGCCCUCUCUCUCUAGCCCAUUGCCCUGGCUCCCACCUUUUUCUGAACCCUUGAAUGUCCUUUUCCUUUACUGAAUUAAAAUGCUUAUGAGCAUAUAUUAAUUAUA